AGUCCAUGGUUCGGGCAAUUUUUUGCCAAACCCUUAAAACGCUUCCAUACGGCGCUUAAGGUCUCAGCUUCUUAUGGUUCAAAGUUCAUAAUCUCUUGACGCC